UGACUGCAUUUCUAAGAAGUCAAAUAUAACUUCAGACAUAGCAAGUUGCGGACUCUGAAUUUAGAAGAUGAGGAAAAAGUCUUUGGUGACACUUGGCAAACACUUAAUUAGAGUGACAGUCAUUUUAAUAUUCAGAAUUUAUGUGAAGGCCUUUUUCAUUCGCUUGUUUAAUUUUCCAGGAUUAAAGUAGAACCUGACAAUUAAAAUAGUUCACACAGUCUUCAGUCUUACACAGUUAAGCUAAUUCAAGUAAAAUUUAAAAUGUUGUUUUGCUUCAAAGCAGAAAAAUGGAAAGUGCAAAUGUUUGGGCAACCCAAGAGAUUUGAUAUUUCCCACAACUUUUGCACAAGUCUAAGACUUUACUUAGCUUGCGACUUCUCAAACCUUGUCCCAGCAGUCAGAUGUCACAGGGUAUAAGAGCACUAAAAGACAUGCACCAAGUUCUUUUGUGAUGGCCGUGUUCUUUAUCCUCUAUGUAAUUAAAGCAAUACCAUGU